rnacentral:misc_RNA from 1 species
GAUGAAGAACGCAGCGAAAUGCGAUAAGUAAUGUGAAUUGCAGAAUUCAGUGAAUCAUCGAAUCUUUGAACGCACAUUGCGCCCGCCAGUAUUCUGGCGGGCAUGCCUGUUCGAGCGUCAUUUCAACCAUCAAGCCCCCGGCUUGUGUUGGGGACCUGCGGCUGCCGCAGGCCCUGAAAACCAGUGGCGGGCUCGCUAGUCACUCCGAGCGUAGUAGUUACAUCUCGCUCAGGGCGUGCUGCGGGUUCCGGCCGUUAAAAGCCUUAUUUACCCAAGGUUGACCUCGGAUCAGGUAGGAAGACCCGCUGAACUUAAGCAUAUAAUAAGCGGAGGA